UCUUCAGUAGUAUAGUGGUCAGUAUUUCCGCUUGUCAAGCAAUUGACAGACCGCGGGAGACCGGGGUUCAAUUCCCCGCUGGAGAG
rnacentral:tRNA from 1 species